CUGCACCGCACGCACUCAGAGUCGCGCUCCCGAGUCAGUCAGGGCUCCGUUAUUAAACACUCAACGGUGGACGCGACUGCAGCAGCGGCAGAAGUGCUGCGACGCUUUAAAACAUGGUGACUGUGGAUCGGUUCAAUCCUGGGAUUCACUCAGUUCUGGAGGAUUGUGAAGCUGAAAAACUGCCCAAAACUGAUGAUUUGAUGUCAGAGACGCUGAACGUGUGUCAGUCCUUCAAAACAGGCCCACAGAAAGUGCCCAUAAGUGAUAGGAAACUCGGUAACGUCAUAUGACCAUCUGUAUCCUCCCUCUAGUCAUCAAGUUUGCAAUGAAUCCCUUCUAUGAAGCCAACGCAGCGAUUUCCUCCACAGCUCUCGAGAGGAAAGUACAGUUUCUUGGGAAGAAGCAUCUGCUCAGGUGAUUCAUCUUAUACAUGUACUCUUCUGUUUUUGCAGUCUUGAUGUCAUGCAUAAAUAUACAGGUGUGUUGUUUGUACUGUCAGAUACAUAUUUCAAUUUCAGUUGUUCAUACUCAUCAGAUUCUGACCCGCUACUGUACGACAGAUGUCUGUGAAUAAUGAUUAUUCUUAAAGACUUGUUUAAAGCAUCACACAGGAAUGCUUUCUGCAGAAAUUACACAUCAAACCAUUAAAAUGCAUAAUUUCUAA